rnacentral:rRNA from 1 species
GACGAACGCUGGCGGCGUGCCUAAUACAUGCAAGUAGAACGCUGAAGGAGGAGCUUGCUCUUCUGGAUGAGUUGCGAACGGGUGAGUAACGCGUAGGUAACCUGCCUGGUAGCGGGGGAUAACUAUUGGAAACGAUAGCUAAUACCGCAUAAGAGUAGAUGUUGCAUGACAUUUGCUUAAAAGGUGCAAUUGCAUCACUACCAGAUGGACCUGCGUUGUAUUAGCUAGUUGGUGGGGUAACGGCUCACCAAGGCGACGAUACAUAGCCGACCUGAGAGGGUGAUCGGCCACACUGGGACUGAGACACGGCCCAGACUCCUACGGGAGGCAGCAGAAGGGAAUCUUCGGCAAUGGACGGAAGUCUGACCGAGCAACGCCGCGUGAGUGAAGAAGGUUUUCGGAUCGUAAAGCUCUGUUGUAAGAGAAGAACGAGUGUGAGAGUGGAAAGUUCACAAUGUGACGGUAUCUUACCAGAAAGGGACGGCUAACUACGUG